CCAAAACUUAAACGAGGAAAACAACUACAUACCCAAUUCAUUGUUAAUGGGUUAAACAUCACCAAUGGUUUAAUGGGUGGGAAAAUGUGGGGUAUGCAUGUGCUGUGUAAUGGUUUUUAUGGAUGCUAAGAAACUGUUUAAUCAGCUUGAGUUUUAUUAUGCCAUGCCAUGGAAAUGGAUGAUUAGAGGGUCUGUGAAAAUGGGUUGCUUCGAUUUCGAUUUAUUGUUUUGUUUUAAAAUGUUGGGUUGUGGUGCUUUGCCUGUUCAAGUAUACUUUUCCUUAUGUAAUUAAGGCUUGUACUGGUUUGAAUAAUGUUAGAUUAGGGAAGGGAUAUGCUUGUUGGUAGUUCUUUGCUGAAGGGUGUUUGUUUGAUGAAGUGAUCGAUAAAGAUUGUGUUUUGUGCAAUGUGGAACUUGCUGAAGUGGCUUCAAGAUAUCUCCUUGACUUGGACCCAAAAAUCUCUGGUUACUAUUUAUUGCUUUCACAUGUACUUGCCGACUCUGAACAAUGGAGGAGUGUGCGUUGGAUACGACAUUUGACGAAAGAUAGAGGAGUCUACAAAGUUCCUGGAUGCAGUUGGAUUUGUGGUCACCAACACCUCUCAUAUGUUUUAUGCUGCAGAUGAAAGUCACCCAGAGUAGCCUCAGAUCUAUUCCUCACUGAAGAGUCUGCUCCUAGAGCUAAGAAAAGAAGGUUAUGUUCCUCAAGCUGUACGAACAGCUUCUUUGGAAAUGACUGAAUCUGGAGAAUCAGACAUGCAUGGCACAAGCAAUUUUAAGAAAAACGCAGUCAAAGGGGAAAUCAAACAGGAACAGCAUGAAAGAUUUUCGUGGCUCGAGCAUCUUCUUUGUUUGAUCUUAUAUCGAUCCAAAUGAGGUGAGGUUAGAACAAAAAACUAGUUUUCAUUUUCUUUCAUUGUCUGUGGUUUACUAUUAUUUUUUUUGUGUUGAAUAAUGAAAUUGGUUAACUUUUAUUUAAUUUUCAGCUUUAUAUUACUUUGUGUCUCGAAAAGUAGGCUUUCGCAAGUUUUAAAAAAAUUCAGUGCAACAUGACAUGCUUUCCAAGAAUUCACUGAGGGAAAGAACUUAACACAGAUUGCUCCAGUUUUUUCUCCUUACUCACACUCUAAGUUGGUAUUGCCCUAGCACCUAUACUUCUUGUAAUGUGAGAGUUUUAAGUGAACAAAUGGCAAAGCCUCAUUAAUUAAUAUGGGAUUCGCUCCUAGUCGCUGCUCGAUGCCGCGGCGAAUACAUAGGUCACGGUGCAGAAACUCACCUCAAAUGGACUACCAUGCACUCUAGAGGAUCGCUUCCUUCUGGGACACAGUUCCACUAAUUUCUCGAAAUAGCUGGUAUGAAAUGAAGAUGGAGAUGACAUGUAUCCAACAACUCCUGCACUCACCAUCAAGUUAUGAUGAAAAAUUAUCUUGCUGAGGACACCUCAUCUGGUUUGCGGUUCCCUGCUUAUUCAUUGCCAUAUUUUUUUCAAUAUUAGAGCUCAUUAAUUACUUGAUCAGCAGCUGGUGAUAACUCCUUUGAUCUAAACCGGACAAGUCCACGGUUACCAAGAUCUAGCCAAAGCAAUUGGCAGUUCACAGCUCUGGUGGGCACUAUGCAAGGUUUGACAUCCUACUUGAAUUUGGAACUGGGGUUAGGGAGAUCAAUAGCAUAAAUAUUAGAGGUCUGCUGGUAUAUACAGAAUUUUUAAUAGUUAAUUUCAAUGUCAUUGCUUUGGCUUGCAAGUGCAACAUAUAGAAGACUACACUUGGAGAGAACUGUGUUGGUAGAUAAAAAUGAUGUUGUCUGCAACACCAUGACAUCAAGAACUAGAAGGGAAAAGUAAAGCAACAAAAAGACCUCAAUAAUCAACAAAACUACUCGCAAGAAAUUCCCUAUUCCUGUAUUUUCUUUUUGAUAAGUUUUCAUGAUCUUCUGUAGCCAAAAAAAAAACAUUUGUACUUUGUAGACUGUCAAAGCUAAUUAGCAAGGACCAUGAAUCAGACACCCAGGUGUGGUUUAUAAUCUAUAGUCUGAUUACCAUCUUGGUUCGUUUCCAUUCUGGAUUGGAACUUGUGGAUUGUUUGUCCUUGAUAUAUUCAUUGACAAA